AUUGAACGCUGGCGGCAUGCUUUACACAUGCAAGUCGAACGGUAACAGGCCUUCGGGUGCUGACGAGUGGCGAACGGGUGAGUAAUGCAUCGGAACGUACCCAGAGGUGGGGGAUAACGCAGCGAAAGCUGUGCUAAUACCGCAUGUGAUCUGAGGAUGAAAGCGGGGGACCGAGCAGCAAUGUUUGGCCUCGCGCCUUUAGAGCGGCCGAUGUCGGAUUAGCUAGUUGGUGGGGUAAAGGCCUACCAAGGCGACGAUCCGUAGCUGGUCUGAGAGGACGACCAGCCACACUGGGACUGAGACACGGCCCAGACUCCUACGGGAGGCAGCAGUGGGGAAUUUUGGACAAUGGGCGCAAGCCUGAUCCAGCAAUGCCGCGUGCGGGAAGAAGGCCUUCGGGUUGUAAACCGCUUUUGGCAGGAACGAAACGGUGUCCGCUAAUACCGGGCGCUAAUGACGGUACCUGCAGAAUAAGCACCGGCUAACUACGUG
rnacentral:rRNA from 1 species